GUCUGGUCCAAAAGUAUUGAAUUACUUCAAUCGUUCAGUCAGUUACGGAUUAAACUCCUUAUUCUACUCUUCCCCUGCUACUCAUUACUGCACUUGACUAGGCAUAA
rnacentral:Y_RNA from 1 species